CAGGCUUUGUUCAUUCUCCAAGACAGGCACCGUGGGAAUAUACGAUGGCAGCUCGGCGACGGGAGCGCGGACACGUUUCUCGUAUUUUGUUGCCAUUUUGGGCAAUUCGGGGCUUGCAGUUUAAUCUGAGCUGGGCGUUAAAUUGUGUUCUUGGUGACUUGGGAACGAUUCCGUAGCGAAUAACUACCUCUAGUCCUGGUCUCCGCUGGAGAUAUAUAUAACUCACAGGGACAGAUAGCAAAAGCGGCUCGGAAAGAAGUACCUGUUGAGAUUGAUAAGCUGACUGACAAAUACUUACUGAGAGAACGCUAAUAACAAAAGAGGUAACUGGAGCGGGCUAUUUGCUGGUGUUAGUAUAGAAUUGCUGAUAGUCUUGCGUAUUUCCCCCUCUCUUGACCUGCCAGACAACUGGCUAAUAUAUUUACAAAUCAUUAGUUCAAAAAUGGAUG
rnacentral:sRNA from 1 species